rfam:Medicago truncatula strain A17 unplaced genomic scaffold scaffold0152, whole genome shotgun sequence.
ACUGAUGUAUUCAACGAGUCUAUAGCCUUGGCCGAUAGGCCCGGGUAAUCUUUGAAAUUUCAUCAUGAUGGUGAUAGAUCAUUGCAAUUGUUGAUCUUCAAC